AGAUGGCGACCGGCGCACGGGUGAGUAACACGUAUCCAACCUGCCGAUGACUCGGGGAUAGCCUUCCGAAAGAAAGAUUAAUACCCGAUGGCAUAGUUCUUCCGCAUGGUAGAACUAUUAAAGAAUUUCGGUCAUCGAUGGGGAUGCGUUCCAUUAGGUUGUUGGCGGGGUAACGGCCCACCAAGCCUUCGAUGGAUAGGGGUUCUGAGAGGAAGGUCCCCCACAUUGGAACUGUGACACGGUCCAAACUCCUACGGGAGGCAGCAUG
rnacentral:rRNA from 1 species